rnacentral:rRNA from 1 species
GGGUUGUGAGGUUAAGCGACUAAGCGUACACGGUGGAUGCCCUGGCAGUCAGAGGCGAUGAAGGACGUGCUAAUCUGCGAAAAGCGUCGGUAAGGUGAUAUGAACCGUUAUAACCGGCGAUGUCCGAAUGGGGAAACCCAGUGCAAUUCGUUGCACUAUCGUUAACUGAAUACAUAGGUUAACGAGGCGAACCGGGGGAACUGAAACAUCUAAGUACCCCGAGGAAAAGAAAUCAACCGAGAUUCCCCCAGUAGCGGCGAGCGAACGGGGAGCAGCCCAGAGUCUGAAUCAGCUUGUGUGUUAGUGGAACGGUCUGGAAAGUCCGACGGUACAGGGUGAUAGUCCCGUACACCAAAAUGCACAGGCUGUGAACUCGAAGAGUAGGGCGGGACACGUGGUAUCCUGUCUGAAUAUGGGGGGACCAUCCUCCAAGGCUAAAUACUCCUGACUGACCGAUAGUGAACCAGUACCGUGAGGGAAAGGCGAAAAGAACCCCGGCGAGGGGAGUGAAAAAGAACCUGAAACCGUGUACGUACAAGCAGUGGGAGCACCUUCGGGUGUGACUGCGUACCUUUUGUAUAAUGGGUCAGCGACUUAUAUUCUGUAGCAAGGUUAACCGUAUAGGGGAGCCGCAGGGAAACCGAGUCUUAACUGGGCGUUAAGUUGCAGGGUAUAGACCCGAAACCCGGUGAUCUAGCCAUGGGCAGGUUGAAGGUUGGGUAACACUAACUGGAGGACCGAACCGACUAAUGUUGAAAAAUUAGCGGAUGACUUGUGGCUGGGGGUGAAAGGCCAAUCAAACCGGGAGAUAGCUGGUUCUCCCCGAAAGCUAUUUAGGUAGCGCCUCGUGAAUUCAUCUUCGGGGGUAGAGCACUGUUUCGGCUAGGGGGUCAUCCCGACUUACCAACCCGAUGCAAACUACGAAUACCGAAGAAUGUUAUCACGGGAGACACACGGCGGGUGCUAACGUCCGUCGUGAAGAGGGAAACAACCCAGACCGCCAGCUAAGGUCCCAAAGUCAUGGUUAAGUGGGAAACGAUGUGGGAAGGCACAGACAGCCAGGAUGUUGGCUUAGAAGCAGCCAUCAUUUAAAGAAAGCGUAAUAGCUCACUGGUCGAGUCGGCCUGCGCGGAAGAUGUAACGGGGCUAAACCAUGCACCGAAGCUGCGGCAGCGACACUAUGUGUUGUUGGGUAGGGGAGCGUUCUGUAAGCCUGCGAAGGUGUGCUGUGAGGCAUGCUGGAGGUAUCAGAAGUGCGAAUGCUGACAUAAGUAACGAUAAAGCGGGUGAAAAGCCCGCUCGCCGGAAGACCAAGGGUUCCUGUCCAACGUUAAUCGGGGCAGGGUGAGUCGACCCCUAAGGCGAGGCCGAAAGGCGUAGUCGAUGGGAAACAGGUUAAUAUUCCUGUACUUGGUGUUACUGCGAAGGGGGGACGGAGAAGGCUAUGUUAGCCGGGCGACGGUUGUCCCGGUUUAAGCAUGUAGGCUGGUUGUCCAGGCAAAUCCGGAUAAUCAAGGCUGAGGUGUGAUGACGAGGCACUACGGUGCUGAAGUAACAAAUGCCCUGCUUCCAGGAAAAGCCUCUAAGCAUCAGGUAACAUCAAAUCGUACCCCAAACCGACACAGGUGGUCAGGUAGAGAAUACCAAGGCGCUUGAGAGAACUCGGGUGAAGGAACUAGGCAAAAUGGUGCCGUAACUUCGGGAGAAGGCACGCUGGUGUGUAGGUGAAGCCCCUGCGGGUGGAGCUGAGACCAGUCGAAGAUACCAGCUGGCUGCAACUGUUUAUUAAAAACACAGCACUGUGCAAACACGAAAGUGGACGUAUACGGUGUGACGCCUGCCCGGUGCCGGAAGGUUAAUUGAUGGGGUUAUCCGUAAGGAGAAGCUCUUGAUCGAAGCCCCGGUAAACGGCGGCCGUAACUAUAACGGUCCUAAGGUAGCGAAAUUCCUUGUCGGGUAAGUUCCGACCUGCACGAAUGGCGUAAUGAUGGCCAGGCUGUCUCCACCCGAGACUCAGUGAAAUUGAACUCGCUGUGAAGAUGCAGUGUACCCGCGGCAAGACGGAAAGACCCCGUGAACCUUUACUAUAGCUUGACACUGAACAUUGAGCCUUGAUGUGUAGGAUAGGUGGGAGGCUUUGAAGCGUGGACGCCAGUCUGCGUGGAGCCAACCUUGAAAUACCACCCUUUAAUGUUUGAUGUUCUAACGUUGGCCCCUGACCGGGGUUGCGGACAGUGUCUGGUGGGUAGUUUGACUGGGGCGGUCUCCUCCCAAAGCGUAACGGAGGAGCACGAAGGUUAGCUAAUCCUGGUCGGACAUCAGGAGGUUAGUGCAAUGGCAUAAGCUAGCUUGACUGCGAGCGUGACGGCGCGAGCAGGUGCGAAAGCAGGUCAUAGUGAUCCGGUGGUUCUGAAUGGAAGGGCCAUCGCUCAACGGAUAAAAGGUACUCCGGGGAUAACAGGCUGAUACCGCCCAAGAGUUCAUAUCGACGGCGGUGUUUGGCACCUCGAUGUCGGCUCAUCACAUCCUGGGGCUGAAGUAGGUCCCAAGGGUAUGGCUGUUCGCCAUUUAAAGUGGUACGCGAGCUGGGUUUAGAACGUCGUGAGACAGUUCGGUCCCUAUCUGCCGUGGGCGCUGGAGAAUUGAGGGGGGCUGCUCCUAGUACGAGAGGACCGGAGUGGACGCAUCACUGGUGUUCGGGUUGUCAUGCCAAUGGCACUGCCCGGUAGCUAAAUGCGGAAGAGAUAAGUGCUGAAAGCAUCUAAGCACGAAACUUGCCCCGAGAUGAGUUCUCCCUGAGACUUUAAGUCUCCUGAAGGAACGUU